rnacentral:rRNA from 1 species
GGCUACACACGUGCUACAAUGGGUAGAACAGAGAGUUGCAAAGCCGUGAGGUGAAGCUAAUCUCAGAAAACUAUUCUUAGUUCGGAUUGUACUCUGCAACUCGAGUACAUGAAGUUGGAAUCGCUAGUAAUCGCGAAUCAGCAAUGUCGCGGUGAAUACGUUCUCGGGUCUUGUACACACCGCCCGUCACACCACGAGAGUUGGUUGCACCUGAAGUAGCAGGCCUAGCCGUAAGGAGGGAUGCUCCGAGGGUGUGAUUAGCGAUUGGGGUGAAGUCGUAACAAGGUAUCCGUACGGGAACGU